GCUUAAAUCAAAGCAAUAUUUUGUAGAUGAGUAAACGCCACAGCAAAUGUCUUCUGUUGAAACUGUACAUAAGUCGGUGCAUGUAUUUGUAUAUGUCUAGAAAUUGCUUAUAUAUGUAUCCGUCAUUCCGUAUUUCUUUUCGUCUCUGUUAGACAACAAUGCACACAAAACUGUCGUCAAGAUUGCCAUGGCUUCAAUCAAUGAGAAUGCUUGUAUAUUUGGUCUGCAGCUUGAAAAUGAUAAGAUUUAGCGUGUUACAAUUAUUUGAUCUGCCUUGGAGAUUGUUAGUUAUUUUACAACACUCAUCUUACAAAUGAAUACAAAUGUACGCCAAACUUAACUUGGCUUCUACACAAGGGAGUCUGAUAAUUUUAAAUAGUACAGUUUAAGCAAAUUGUACAUCUAUUGUGAAAGCCACUUCAUUGUUGUCAAAAUCUUAAAUUUUACAAUAGUCAUUAAGUUUUUUUUUAUUUCAAUGUCUUAAAUGAAGGGGAAUGAUUUAAUAUAUUUGAGCAUCACUGAUAAGUCUUAUGUAGACGAAACGCGCGUCUGGCGUACUAAAUUAUAAUCUUGGUUCCUUUGAUAACUAUUGGAUACAGCUUGGUAAUGUUGGAUGAUAGGGUGUUUGCAAUUUCAACAUCUGCAUUACAGACGGUGCGAUGCCUGUUUGCUUUUAGUUGGAAAAUUUACUUAUUUUCGUAGCUUUCGGAGCUUCUAUGAUUUUAAUGAAAGAUCAGUUAUCACACAUGUUAUCGGAAGUUUUUGCAGGCAAAAAUACUGGUCCAGAC
rnacentral:lncRNA from 1 species